CUCGUGCUUGUUUGUGAACUAUCACACUUGCUCCUUCUACCAGUUCAUGGAUGGUAGAAAUAAAGCUUUUUCUCCGAAACUAUUCCUUGAGUGUCUGUUGACUCCCAUUUUCCCUUUCCCGGGCGCAAUAUUUUUCCCACUCGAGGGCAAAGCCUCAUAAGGCUACAGUUGUAGAGCAGGUCCCUGAGUUUGAUUUCCCCCCUCUUCUCUCCCUGUCCCUUUCCCCUUGUGUGCCUUUUGUUUUAGGUUGAAUGCCUGUAGACAGGGACUGUCUUGUUUCUGCAGGGCAAACAGAAAAUACAGUGGUACCUCUGGUUAAGUACUUAAUUCGUUCCGGAGGUCCAUUCUUAACCUGAAACUGUUCUUAACCUGAAGCACCACUUUAGCUAAUGGGGCCUCCUGCUGCCGCCGUGCCACUGGAGUACGAUUUCUGUUCUCAUCCUGAAGCAAAGUUCUUAACCCGAGGUACUAUUUCUGGGUUAGCGGAGUCUGUAACCUGAAGCGUAUGUAACCUGAGGUACCACUGUACACACCACAAUUUCCUCACUGCGUAAAUCAUGUUCAGAAUACCACAACACACACGUAACUGGCUGUAAAGUAACAUAACAUUAACAUUAUAUAUAAUGUUUUAUAUAUAAUAAAACUGUAAUCUAAUCACAUCAAAAAUUAUAUGAUGAUUAGAUUACAGUUUUAUUAUAUAUAAUGUUAUGUUACUUUACAGCCAAUUAUGUGUGUGUUGGGGCAAACCGAAAAUGGCUUGGACCCUUUGCCUGGAGAGCAUGGAACAAGCGGAAAACCUCUCGGACUCAUGCUUUGUAGACACAGGACAAGCGAAUUGUGGAUGAGCCCUUGAUAUAAGGCAGCUUCCUCUGUUCACACAACCUAUGCUGACACAGUCCUUGGGAUGAAGAGGUCUUAUUCAAUUGCUAUUCAUUCAAUUUAAAACAUGUGCAGAAGACCCUGUGACCAGAAGUGAGGACAGUGAUGAAUGUGAUGAUAUUAGCUGCUUUGAAACCCACCCUGACCAGCCUGAGACUUCCGUUUCUUCUCUGCAUUCAUUCCUCUGGACCACCUGAUGCAUCUCCUGGCUUGGGUUGGUUAUGGGGGAACAUGCAAACCUCUCAGUUGCUGUGAUAUAAGGGAUAAAAGACUACACACAUUUUUUAUGAGUCAAUAUUGGGCAAAACAAAACUUCUUCUCCCAUCUGUGACAUGAAUUUUUUUUUUUGGGGGGGUGCCUCGUGGAUGGGCACAGUUGUUGAAGGAGUUCUUUUUCAGUCAUGCCACUGUGACCUCUUUAGCUGAGAGCAGUACCCAGAAUCCUUUGCUGGUGCUGGUGCCGCUGCUGCGUGCACCACUUGCUCCUCACUGCAUGGCCGCUUCUGCGAUGCAAAUGUCGCUCUCUCACAUGCUUAAAAGAUGUUUACCGUACGCCCGGCCCAGCUGGAUCCCACCCAGCCCCCAAGGCCCUGCUCCUCCCCUCGCGGUUUCACACUGCGGGGUAAUUAUAGCCUCGCGUUGGUGAGUUUUGAAACCGAGAGGCGCUAAGAAUAGCAACAGAAAAACGUCCUGCAAGAUGGCGUUUCCUGAAGCUGCAGUUUCUUGUAUCUCAUCUCUCACCCUCUCCUUUUUCCAUUGUAAAGGUCCGCUCUUUCCAGCCUCCUAUGCUUGGCCAGAGUCAUUCCAUUCACAUGAGCUUCCUAUUAUGGGUCUGGUCUGCACACAUGGGUGUAGUUGGGGGGGGCAGGGAGGGACACCUGCCCCCUCAGUCAAUGAAAAUGCAUAGCAAACUGAGGUUCUGCCCCCCCCACAAGGGCUGUCCCCAUGUCUGCACAUGUAGUAUUAUGGGGUGGGAGGAUACUGAAACUGGUUGCAUGGACUUCCCUGGGGUACCCAACAUGGUGCCCUUCAUAUCUUGUGGACUGCAGCUCCUGGUCAUAGAUCAAGGAUGAUGAGAGUUGGAAGUUCACAAAGAGCACCACAUUAGCUACUUUUGGACUACCCAUCAGAUUAUAGGUGGUGGAUGCCAUUUUUAAACACUUUGCUUUGUUCAACCAACCAACCAACCAACCAACCAACCAACCAACCUGUAAGUCAAAAGCUAGCACAACAAGUUGGACCUGGAACUUUUAUUUCCAAUUGUGUUAGCUUUCUAUUUGCACAGAGUCCCCCCCCCCCCCUCCAUCUCUUGUAAAAGAACAAUGAAAACGUUAUUCCCCACUUGAAGUGAUGCACUCUAUUCUUCCACCUCAUCCUGACCUCAUUCUGCUACAGGUGUAGGCCCAGACUUCCUCCUUGGAAGCAUCAUAUUGCGACUUUCGCUCCAGGUCUCUGAUGGGUCUGUUUCAUUGGAAUAAGGUCACGGGAGGCUUUUGCCAGUUUUGUGAUGUAUGGUUUAUUUACAUGCAUAUACAGGGAUCGGAAGGUUCACAUCAUUAGCACUUCUUGCAUAUUGUUUCUGGGAUGCUUGUGCACUAAAAACAGUAAUGAUCACAAAACCUGCAUCAACUGGAAAGGCCCGCCCGCAAAGGAUAUCUAGCCCAGCCCCCUAAUGGUGCAGAAAUCUAUUGCUAUACGAUCCCAGAUGAGUAGCUAUUCUCUGCUUAACAACCUCCAAUAAAUGAAUAUGCAAUAGAUUAAGGGAUUGAUAGUCACUGGUAGUUUGAAGACCAUAGACUGUAUCCUGUGAUAGUCUUACUCAGAGUAGACCAGUUGAAGUUAAUGGGCAUGCCUAUCUUAGUUUAAGUUGGUCUGCUCUGAGUAGAACUUGGCUGACUACAAUCCUGUGGCAGUAAGGAAAUGGUGUGUAAGAGAUGGGCAAAAGAGCUGGCUUAUUUGAGCGUAUUGCAUGCACAUAGAUAGAUAAGGAUAUUUAUUUCAUAUGGUUAAAGAGACCUGGCAAAGAUACUGGAAAGUGGAGUUUCACAUCUCUGGGUGAAGUUAGAAGCCAGAUAGUGUCAGGCAUGUUGGGGCUAGAGACACCAGACAUUCAUUCGUUUAAAAAAGCAAUAGCUGCCAGGAUGGUAUGCCUCUGAAACAUGAAGACUAGAUUCAAAAUAAUGAAAUAUUUAAAAGCACACAAUAAGAUAUAUAUAUAAACACACAUGCACACUAAAUCUAAAAUAAUAUUAUUUUUAUUUUUUAACCCCCCCCCACAAAAUAAGAGCAGCAAAAGCAACAAUAAGAGUAAAACCACCACUGCUUAAAAGCCUGGGAGUAGAAUGUAUUAGUCACCUGUUAGUCUUUAUUCACCUGUGCCAGCAGAAUAUCUCUAGGGAGACCAUUCCACAACAGGGGCACCACCACUGAAAAGGCAUAUUUUUAUUUGUGGGGGUGACUGUCCUUCUGUUCUUUACUAGGUGGGAGAAGCAGAUGUUUCUGACUCUUGGUGGAA